rnacentral:rRNA from 1 species
GAACGGAACUUCUUCGACAGAAUUCUUCGGAAGGAAGUUGAUUAAGUUUAGUGGCGGACGGGUGAGUAACGCGUGAGUAACCUGCCUUUGAGAGGGGAAUAAUUUCCCGAAAGGGAUGCUAAUACCGCAUGAUGCAUAGAAGUCGCAUGGCUUUUAUGCCAAAGAUUUAUCGCUCAAAGAUGGACUCGCGUCCGAUUAGCCAGUUGGCGGGGUAACGGCCCACCAAAGCGACGAUCGGUAGCCGGACUGAGAGGUUGAACGGCCACAUUGGGACUGAGACACGGCCCAGACUCCUACGGGAGGCAGCAGUGGGGGAUAUUGCGCAAUGGGGGAAACCCUGACGCAGCAACGCCGCGUGAAGGAUGAAGGUUUUCGGAUUGUAAACUUCUUUUAUUUAGGACGAAGAAUGACGGUACUAAAUGAAUAAGCUCCGGCUAACUACGUGCCAGCAGCCGCGGUAAUACGUAGGGAGCAAGCGUUAUCCGGAUUUACUGGGUGUAAAGGGUGCGUAGGCGGCUUGGUAAGUCAGAUGUGAAAUGUAUGGGCUCAACCCAUGCACUGCAUUUGAAACUAUUGAGCUUGAGUGAAGUAGAGGCAGGCGGAAUUCCCUGUGUAGCGGUGAAAUGCGUAGAGAUAGGGAGGAACACCAGUGGCGAAGGCGGCC